GAUGAAGAACGCAGCGAAAUGCGAUAAGUAAUGUGAAUUGCAGAAUUCAGUGAAUCAUCGAAUCUUUGAACGCACCUUGCACUCCUUGGUAUUCCGAGGAGUAUGCCUGUUUGAGUCUCAUGGUAUUCUCAACCCCUAAAUUUUUGUAAUGAAGGUUUAGCGGGCUUGGACUUGGAGGUUGUGUCGGCCCUUGUCGGUCGACUCCUCUGAAAUGCAUUAGCGUGAAUCUUACGGAUCGCCUUCAGUGUGAUAAUUAUCUGCGCUGUGGUGUUGAAGUAUUUAUGGUGUUCAUGCUUCGAACCGUCUCCUUGCCGAGACAAUCAUUUGACAAUCUGAGCUCAAAUCAGGUAGGACUACCCGCUGAACUUAAGCAUAUCAAUAAGCGGAGGA
rnacentral:misc_RNA from 1 species